UGCAGUCGAACGGUAACACCAGAGUAGCUUGCUACUUUGCUGACGAGUGGCUGGACGGGUGAGUAAUGUCUGUGGAUCUGCCUGAUGGAGGGGGAUAACUACUGGAGACGGUAGCUAAUACCGCAUAAUGUCGCAAGACCAAAGCGGGGGACUUUCGGGCCUCGCACCAUCAGAUGAACCCAGAUGGGAUUAGCUAGUAGGUAGGGUAAUGGCUUACCUAGGCGACGAUCCCUAGCUGGUCUGAGAGGAUGACCAGCCACACUGGAACUGAGACACGGUCCAGACUCCUACGGGAGGCAGCAGUGGGGAAUAUUGCACAAUGGGCGCAAGCCUGAUGCAGCCAUGCCGCGUGUAUGAAGAAGGCCUUCGGGUUGUAAAGUACUUUCAGUCAGGAGGAAGGGUGUGAAAUUAAUACUUUCAUGCAUUGACGUUACUGACAGAAGAAGCACCGGCUAACUCCGUGCCAGCAGCCGCGGUAAUACGGAGGGUGCAAGCGUUAAUCGGAAUUACUGGGCGUAAAGCGCACGCAGGCGGUUUGUUAAGUCAGAUGUGAAAU
rnacentral:rRNA from 1 species